CUUGUGGCCAUAUCAGGUUGAAACACCAGUUCUCAUUUGCUCAUUGAAGUUAAGCAAAGUCAAGUCUGGCCAGUAUCUGGAUAGGUGACCACUUGAGAAUACCAGGUGCUGUAAG